AUACUUACCUGGAUGGGGUCAAUGAGUGAUCAAUAAGGCUCAUGGCCUAGGCUUAUGACCUCCAUUGCACUUAAGAGGGGUGCUUGCCUAUGGUCUCCACAUGUGGGAGAGCCUACAUCAUAAUUUGUGGUAGUGGGGAUUUGUGUUUGCGUAGUCUCUU
rfam:Lupinus angustifolius cultivar Tanjil chromosome LG16, whole genome shotgun sequence.